ensembl:lncRNA
AGAUUAGUUUUCACUUCUACUUGGGCAGAGCUUCAGCUUUCUCAUUUAUCUGCCAAAUGUCACUUCACUGAGUCUAUCCUCCCACCCAAAAGAGGAAGCUCCUUCAAAGCUACAUUUGCUGGACUUGGAAAAUAACAUCUAAGGCUCCCUUAAAUAAUGACCAUAAAGAAUACUUCCGAGAUAGCAGACAUUAGUAUGAUGAUAUUAGUAUCAACCUCCGCUCUUUUGUUAUUCUUGUGUUUUGAAGAGCCUCAGGGAGGAUUGUAGGCACACCUUUUUCACUGGUGUCUUUUGUUGGCUGACCUGAAGGUAGAAGGUGCCCUAUCGGGCUAUAGUGAGUUUGUCUGGGGCUCUUCAUUCCAUCUGCUCUACUACUCUGCUAAGCGUUCCCAUUCCUCAAUAGAUGUGUACAAGCAGCACUCUGGGCUAGCUGUCACUCACUCGCUUUCUGAAUGCAGAGAAGAAAAGGAGCAAAUGAGGAGAGAACAGUGAGUGGGAAUCGUUUCCCUGCCUUCCUGCCCUUGUCAGGCACACAUUAAUUGUGACAGUGGUUUGAACAUCAAAGAAUGUAGACAUGAGAAGUAAAGAUGUGAGCCGACAGAAAGAGAGAAAGAGGAAAGAAUAGGUGUGGUGUUACAAGAGGAGGUGUGUGGUAGAUCUAAGGGCUUAACUUCCAUGAGGUAAUUAUAGAAGCAUAAACAAUAAAUCAGACUUUAUCUGGCAAACCUUUGACCAUACAAAAAAAGGAAGAUACAUCAGUGGGAUUAUAGGAUCUAGCUCUGUAAGGCAUGGGUUAUAGCCAUGCAGUUUUGGGCCCUCGGUUUCUCUUUGAGCAGCUUGAUAGCAAGGCAUGCAUCAAAACUGUUACUGAAAACAUGCUGUGGGUUUCUUGUAUCUUCAGCUGAAGGAGAAAGCUGUUACUGAUUACUGGCUACGCUGGUUGUAUUUCAGGGCUGGUCUUGUGUGGUGGUUUUCUUUUCAGCUCUGAAGUCAGUUAGCUGUGUGAUAACCUCCUUCUUCCCCACCAGGGAAGAUCUCCAAGAGUCCACUUCUGUGACAGAUCUGUGCAGUGGAAAGAACUAAGGUGGGAACAAAGGCUCUCCUUCUUUCCUUUUCCGCACCCCUAUCCCCUUCUCCUCCAUUUCUGCAGCACCAGAAUGAAAAUCAGGCUCCUUCACCCCUUCAUGCAUACUGCAAAAUCUGUAUCACCAUUGUCUAAUCAACAAAAUGAUUUGUAAAGAUUUCACUUUACCUUUGAUCUUGCAAAAUGAGAGUAGCUUUAAGAAAAGCCAGAUACUUUAAAGAUCACCACAUGGUUUUAAUAGCAUUUUCUACUUUGUUUCAUAACUUGAAUGAACAAGAUAUGAACAGUAUUCCUAUUGUCACCACAUUUCACUGUGUUAUCACGUUUGCUAAUAUUUCCUAGUUAAAAAAAAUUUGGCAGCUAUUAUGAAGCUGAUGUAACUUAAUAUCUGCUUCUAGCUCCAUCAGUAGAGCCUGUUCCAAAGCUUACUGAAGCUGCUAGAAACUUGCUCUCUGGCUUCAGUCAGUUUGAGAUCUGAAGUACAGAAAGGGAAAUGACAUGCUCGGAAGGUUUCCCACCUUUCAGAUCCCAUUUCUUUUCCCUCUUCAGCUAUGCAAAAGCUCUCACCACAUUGCAGAGCACAGUGUGGUUUGGAUGCUGUAUGCACAUAUGUGAACAUGAUGGGUUUAUGGGUGUAUUUUUGCUGACAAACUGAAAUCAUGGGAGAAAGAGAGAGGAAGUACUUUGUUUCAGAUUUGAAGUUACAUUUUUGAAUUGUAAAUAGAGUUUCUGAGAAGUUAAACAAAAAUAAAGAUGUUUUCAUUUCUUUGCCACUGAAAAUGCACAGAAUAAAAAUUGAGAGGAGGAGUGGAGAAAGAUGACAUCCUGGACUCUUCCGUUUUGUUUUCUCCCCAUUACUGCCAUGCUCCUUCACUUGCAUGACAGGGAAGACGGCCUGCCCUGGGUGGCAAUUACAGUUGGUUAAUUUUGGCACAAUGUGAAUAAAAGCAGAUUGAUAUAAAUCACUGAACAGUGUAGCUUAUGAAAAUGCAAGUUAAAGUAGCGCCCCAACCACAGUGCUGUCAUGAGAGAAGCUGAAAGCCAGAUGUUGGUCUAAUCAUGAUAGAAAUAAUCUAGUAGCAGACUUUAUCCUCUGGAGCUUGAAAGCCUUACCUAAUGGUUUUUGUCAGCCAGAUACCUCAGUGUUGCAAUACAUAUUGAAUGUUUUAGAGGAUCAGAAGUUGGUUUGUUUUCUUGGCUUAUAGAUGGAUAUUCUGGGAGUAGCUUUGUGUACACGAUCUGCGGGAGCCCCAGGUGAAAAGCACCUAGUAGGGGAUAAGAGACAUUCUGAGUAUCUAAGGUGUCCAAGUGUCUUGGACACUCAAAAUCUUACCUUAUUUUAAAGUAACCUAUGUGUGGUUGUGUCAUUAGAAUAAUGAACAAAUAAUGAGUGCUUCUGGAAUCACCAGAGGUAGAUAUAUGUGUGUACACUGAGUGUAAUUAAAACUGCAAACAGAUCCUUCCUGCAUCUCACUGCAUUUAUCAAGGAAAAACUACAUUAAUUGAAAAUAGUGCCUGUAAGUUAAAGUCUUUAUUUUUGGAUCAGCAGAGAUGUGAUAGGAUGAGUUCACCUUAAGUUAAAUGUGAAUGCCCCGAUUACAAGCUUGUUUCAGGCUCUGUAUGGCUUAAAAUGUGAGCCUGUUCUGGCUACUGUGCACCCAUAGGUGAACUCUGCAGGCUGAAGAAUAAGUGUGGGGGCUCCUGAGCCAGCAUCCUGCCCAACACUUUCAUCUGGCAUGCUGUCAUCUCCUCUGAGAGGCCCUGCAUGAUAUUGAGGUGACACAAGGUGCAGCUAGGGAGAGAUGAAGCUAUGGUCCACAAUGACACAGUUCAUAUGUACUAGCAGACACCAUGUGCUACUGCUAUCAGUUUUCAUACCAGAUUAUUCACUGGGCUCUGCAAUAAGAAAAUGAUAGAAAAGCCAUUAAUUUGUCUGGUGAUUAAGCUGGACAAGGAAACCCUAUAAAGACCAACAUCUGCUUUCUAAAAUAGAAUAGUCCGGAUGGAAGGGACCUACUAAGGUCAUCAAGUCCAGCUACUGUGGAUGGCAUAAAAACAUUUGGUUCAGGGACAAUUUAUGCCCUCCAAAAAUGUCUUUUUUCUAGGGACAAACCCUCCACUUCUUUCAAAGGUAUUUUGCACCUGGUAUGUGCAGUCUACAUUUUAUAACAUUUUUAACAAAAGAAAAAUGUAAGAAGAGGGAACUGCUUCUUUGUUUUGCUUGAGACUUGUGCCAGAACAAUCUCCAAGGAAUUGACAGUGCCCUGAUCAGAUAGAAAUAAAUUAUGGGGACACUAUUUUAUAUCCUUAUGUGUCUCUGUGCAAAUGCAUUUGGAGAUGGUGAUGUGAAUGUGAAAAAAUAACAUUUGUGGAGAUAUGGAAAUGAAGAGGGAGGAAAAAAGAGGAAAAGAGAAGGGGAGCAAGCUGCUGAGAGCACAGCCACUCGGCCAGCUACCUGCAUCAGACAGUGACCAAAGCCUCUGCCCAAGACAGUCUUUGUAUUCUAUGAUAUGAAUUUUCUUCAACAGUAGAGCACAAUUUUCCUGAACUCUCUUUUUCUUUUCCUACCAAAAAGGAUGUUUUGGAGAAUCUUUGCUGACUGUCACAUUGCAAUUACUGCAGUGCGGAUGGCAAAGUUUGUGGGAAGGAGCAAUACUGAAGAAGAGUUAAAAAUUAAGGCAACUUGUUUGGGUUUUUCGUUGUUGUUUUUAUAUAUAACAUAUGCAGAUCUGUUGAGGUUUUUUUUUUUCUUCAUUUUAAGAAAAGCUUCAAAAUUAGGAUAGAAAAAUGAUUUUUUUCUCAUUCCCAGUCUUUUGUUUUAAGCAUCUGUGCUUUGUUUUAAUCAUGGAUGUGCAUGAUCAAGAAAUUACACUGAGAUCUGCUCCCAUUCCAUGGAACACUCAGAGCAAAACCUCUAUGGUUCUUCAGAGUAACCUUCUCUUGCACUGGGCUUCACAUCAUAUACUACUUAAAUCUGAGCACACACACUUUCAGAGUCAAGGCUUUACAAGGUCUGGACUGUUUCUUUCUUUGAUGAAUAGUAUAUGGUGCCAAAAUUUGCCAGAUCCUGCCUGUACAAAACAGGGGCUUAGAAUUAACAUUGUAUGUGUUUAAUGGCAGAAAAAAAAACAGACUUGGUCUUCUGGUGGAAGGGAGUCUUAUGCACAACAGUAUCUCUGGAUUGUAUUUGUUGCUUUCACAGACAUAAUGACUUUUCCAUGUGUUUGCUGCUGCUGAAAUUGCCAUUAAAAGAACUACGUUGAUGGUAUCAAAUUCUUGUACUUUUGUGGUAACCUUGUUCAAACAAAGCAAGAAACUUCACGCUUUUUCAGAAGCUGUACCCUUGACACAAAGAGAUACGGAAAAAUAGAGAAAGGUGAUGAGCUAUUCUCAAAUCGAGAAUAUCUAAGCCAGUAACUUAAUGCUGGCUUAACACUGUUUUGUUUGUCCUUAUUCCCCUGUAAUCAGAGAAGACUGCAGAUUCCUAGAAAUCCAUCAGUAUGGCUCAUUGCUGGUAUGGCACAGUGGUGGCACUAUGCAAGAUUUCCAACAGUGCCAACCAUGUGUUGUGUGUCUGUUCAGCAGAAGCACUGGUGGGAUAGUAAAAUGCUUGCUUGAGUCAAGAUAAUGUCAGUUGCUUAUGCUCCUUAAAAAUCUACUGGUGCUAAGAAAAUGUUGCUCUAAUCAUCUGAACGUUGCUGCUUUGAAAAAGUAUGAAUAUGAAAUCCCACAUAUGUGAUAAUGAUUUUGAGAAAGCAAUGAUCACUGCAACUAAAGCAUUUGCAUCUGUUAAAAGCACAGCUUGCUCUUUCACUUGUGUCAAAGCUGCUGGCACAGAAUUCAAAGUACUGGAUUGGCAACUCUAUCAGGAAGCAAGUGCAGCACAAAGCCAUAAUAGCUGUCUUGGUUUGCUUUUGUUAUCUAAAAAAUUUCAAGUGCUUUGGAUAACAUAAGGUGCCAUAUAACUAUGGAAGUUGUUGGGCAGCAGCUUGACAGCCAUAUGCCUAUAUCUAUAAUGUAUGCACAGCCUCAUCUUUAACUACAUGUUUUCCUUUAGCAGCUGUGGCAACAGUGGUGAGUUCAAACAAUUCCCACACAGUGAAAAUGCAGCUGGAGGCAAUGGCUUCUCUGCUGAGGGCACAGAAGACACAAGCACUCCGGUCACUUAAAGACUUUCAGAGGGGCCAAAGCUACCUCAGCGCUUACUGUCUGAUCUAUGCCAACUGUGUUGCAAAGAUUCCCAUCCUAACAUUAACCAGCUCACUGUGAAGUCAUGCACAGUGCAGAAAGGCAGGGAUAUUGGAGGUCAGUUCAGCACCGUGGUGAAGCAGCACUCCUGCUCCUGGUGCUGGUGCUAAUGCAUGUGGGUCACCAGGGCUAUCUCUGCACUGCUGCCAGGGUUAAGCCAGUUCAUGGUUCUCUGCACCUGUGGAGUAAACCUUUUUUUUUUUCUGAAAACUCCUUUUUUGCCUUUCUCAGACAGUGAGCAUGGAAGAACUGAGACAGUAUGGGAGCAGCUGCAAAGGGUAUCCAAGCUCAGCUAGGAGAAGGUAUGUGUGGCUGGCCAUGAGGGUGAAGGAAAUUCAGGCAACUUUCUUUUGGAAAGGACAAGCAAAAUCUCUCCAUGUCAGAACUUUAGAGGUUUAUUUUGUAUGUUGCCUUGUGUUUCAUGUAAUAAAAUCCAGACCACAUACAGCACCAAAUCCUGCAGUUGUCAUUGUCUUAGAAGUCCUAUUCAAAGGUUAACUAACCACUAGGUGUUCCCCUGACAAAGAUAAAAUCUUUGUGUUCCAAACUUUCUGAAGAGUCUUUCAUUACAAUAAACAUCUCCUGCCCAGUAGCUGAGGCUUGUUGAGUAUAAAGAGCCUUUGUCAGGGAUGGAGCACAGCAGAGCUUCCUGAGGAUUUCUUUCCACUCUAAAACUGAGGUGGGUCUGUCCUCCCCACUCAUUUUAAUUUGUUCAUUUUUUCCUAGGAAACAAGUAUUGCUCUGGUUUUCAUUUUCCACAGGCUGCUUGAGUAUCUUGGAGUCUGGAGCUGAGGGGAAAGGAAAGGUUGUUAUCCUUAGUGGUGUUGCCUUUUAUCAUCAAUACUGGCUGCUAGUAUAGAAGAGUAGUAUACCAGCCAAGGGUAUAGCAGUCACUGCUACACAUGUAGACCAUGAGGACUGCUCAGCAACAGAGGCUGUGCAGGACUUGCGAUGUGUUCCCCACUUCUCUCUGAAAUACUUCAUAGUACAUCUGGAAUACAUGUUUUCACUUUUAAAAUCUGUCCUUUUACAAAUAAAAUAGUGUGGAAUCUGCCCAGAUAAUUCUCAUUGUAGCAGCACUAGUAUUGCUUCAUUGUUAAUCUCUUUCCAGCUGUGGCAAUUGUUACUCCUCUCCUCUCCUCUCCUCUCCUCUCCUCUCCUCUCCUCUCCUC